rnacentral:rRNA from 1 species
CCUGAUGCAGCGACGCCGCGUGAGGGAUGAAGGCCUCGGGUUGUAAACCUCUUUCAGUAGGGAAGAAGCGAAAGUGACGGUACCUGCAGAAGAAGCGCCGGCUAACUACGUGCCAGCAGCCGCGGUAAUACGUAGGGCGCAAGCGUUAUCCGGAAUUAUUGGGCGUAAAGAGCUCGUAGGCGGUUUGUCGCGUCUGCCGUGAAAGUCCGGGGCUUAACUCCGGAUCUGCGGUGGGCAACCUGUGGACUUCAGUAGAACCGGGGAGACUGGAAUUCCUGGAGUGGAAGUUGAAUGCUCUGAGGAGGGGAGGAACGCCGGAGGGGAAGGCGGUACACUGGUACUGAACUCACGCUGAGGAACCAAAGCGUGGGUACAGGACCAGAUUAGAUGCCCUGGUACUCCA